AUGUCUCUGGUAGCACUUCUGCUUCUGCUGGCAGCCGGAUCAUAUGCUGAGCUGCGGUAUUCGGUGCUGAGCUGCGGCAUCUCGCUGUGGUUCUCCAGCUGCACCGCAGCAGAGAGGAAGCAGCUCCAACGGGUCAUCAACACCGCCCAGAGACUUACUGGCUGCCCUCUCCCCUCCCUGGAGGAUAUUUACUCCACCUGCUGCCUCAAGAGAGCCCGCAGCAUCAUCAGGGACUCCUCACACCCCGGGACACCUAAACUUGCAGUUCUGUUCCCUCUAACUCCAUGUAAUUCUGGCAGUGGGGAUCACAUCACUUUUGGCUGUCUGGCCCAAGACUUCUUUCCAAAAAGUGCUACAUUCCAGUGGACCAGUGCCAGUAACACCAAAGUGGAUUCUGACCAGUAUAUUUUUUCUCAAAAUAACAUCGACACAUUUACUGGAGUCAGUGUGAUCAGUGUGCCAAGAUCAAGAGUUUUGUCUUACAAUUGUUCUUUCACUCUUUCUGAAAAAAGCAAGACUGUGCAAGUGGAAUAUGCCUCCUCUCCUCCUAAUGUAACAUUGCUCUCAGGGCCACAUGGAGAGAAACAGGUCUUGGUCUGUUCUAUUGAAAACUUUGCCCCCAAACAAGUGUCAGUCAGUUGGAAAAAAAACAGCAACACUGUGACUGGCUUCAGUAGUUUUGAUCCCCAAAAAAGUGGAAGUGUUUAUUCGGCUGUCAGUAUGUUAAAAGUCGACCGAAUAGACUGGGACAGUAAGGCUGUUUACACCUGUGGGGUGACUCACGAGGGACAAACUUACAUAAAAAAGGCUUCAAAAGCACAUAUUACAGUUACACUGAACCCUCCCAGUCCUAAAGCAAUGUUCAGCAAUAAACAAGCAGAGCUUAAAUGUGUUGUGACUGGACAGGAUAGCAGCAUUUUAUCCAGUAUUAAAAUCAUUUGGAACAUUAAUGGGCGAGACGUGACCACCAACAUUCCUGAUACAGAACAACCACAAGAAAAAACCAGCACGCUAACUCAAACCCUCUCUGAAUGGAAGAAAGUCAACACAGUGAGCUGUUCUGCCACAACACACGACAUGACACCAGUUACUCAGAGUCUGACUGUCACCAGAGGUGUGAAAAACCCCAACAUCCAAGUUCUAGCUCCUUCAGGGUACCCAGAUGAGAAGGUCACUCUGGUGUGUCUGGUCACCAGUUCAGUGCUGCAAGAUUACUACAUCGCCUGGUCAGAAAGAAUUGGAAAUAAGAGUGGAUCAUUCACUGAUGGUAUCACCUUGCCUGCACAGAAGAUCAACAGUGAUUACUUAGUUUCAAGCUUUUACACCAUCACCAGGGAUGAAUGGGAAAAGAAAACACAUUUCAGCUGCAACGUGUGGCCUGCUGGUAGUGAUGAAGCUAUGAUGCCCAGAGAUGUGUCUAGAUUGUCAGACUUAAAUGAGACAAUUGCAGUAAGUUGCAUAGAUAAUGCCAAUGAAGGAGAUGACUUCAACAGCUUGUGGUCCACAACCUCCUCAUUCAUCUUCCUCUUCAUCUUCUCUGUCUCCUAUAACAUGAUUUUCAGUCUGGUUCAGAUGAAGAAAUAAUAAAGGUUCAGGCUGGCACAGCAGAAAUGAAUAACAGCAGAAUAUUUACAAGAGCUUCGAUGUAUUUUAUGUACUUAUUAUAAUGUAUUAAAUAUUUGAAAAUUAUGUAUUUUCACAAAAUAAUAGUUUUAAUUAAUAAUGAUGUAGUGAAAUAAACCAUUUUUAAAAUAAAUCUUAUCCAUUAAAUUAUGUUUGAAGUCAUUCUCUGCACUAUUUUUUCCUGUAAAGAGAAUGUAUUUUGUUAAAGCGUAUUAAUUGAUGAUGUUGCUGUAAUGCAAAGAUAGCUUUUUCUUUCUCAUAAGUGCAUCUCUGCUUAUUAUGAACCUCUUUUGUCAGUUAAAGGUUGGUGUUUCUGAGGUUUUCUAAACAUCAAUUUCAGACAUAAAUUUAAAUGUGUUUCUGUACCUCUGGGACCUUAGCUGUAACUUCGCUGAAACUGCCAAAGUUAAACUUCCUGGAAAGAA